rnacentral:rRNA from 1 species
GACGAACGCUGGCGGCGUGCUUAACACAUGCGAGUCGAACGGAAAGGCCCUGCUUUUGUGGGGUGCUCGAGUGGCGAACGGGGGAGUAACACGUGAGUAACCUGCCCUUGACUUUGGGAUAACUUCAGGAAAAUGGGGCUAAUACAGGAUAGGAGCUCCUGCUGCACGGUGGGGGUUGGAAAGUUUCGGCGGUUGGGGAUGGACUAGCGGCUUAUCAGCUUGUUGGUGGGGUAGUGGCUUACCAAGGCUUUGACGGGUAGCCGGCCUGGGAGGGUGACCGGCCACAUGGGUACUGCGGGACGGCCCAGACGCCUACGGGAGGCAGCAGUGGGGAAUAUUGCGCAAUGGGCGGAAGCCUGAUGCAGCAACGCCGCGUGCGGGAUGACGGCCUUCGGGUUGUAAACCGCUUUCGCCUGUGACGAAGCGUGAGUGACGGUAAUGGGUAAAGAAGCACCGGCUAACUACGUG